UACGGAGGGGGCUAGCGUUGUUCGGAAUUACUGGGCGUAAAGGGCUCGUAGGCGGCCAACUAAGUCAGACGUGAAAUCCCCAGGCUCAACCUGGGAACUGCGUCUGAUACUGGAUGGCUUGAAUUCGGGAGAGGGAUGCAGAAUUCCAGGUGUAGCGGUGAAAUGCGUAGAUAUCUGGAGGAAUACCGGUGGCGAAGGCGGCAUCCUGGACCGACAUUGACGCUGAUGAGCGAAAGCUAGGGGAGCAAACGGG
rnacentral:rRNA from 1 species